UUAAAUAUAAUAAAUUUUGUUUAUUUAGUUUGUGUAAUAUUUAGAAUUAAAUAAAGUUUUAUAGUUGUGUAAUGUUGAAGUAAUUUAAUUGAAAUAAUAAUUUUAUUGAUAUAUAUAGUAAUGUAAAUGAAUUUUAUUUAAAAAUGAAUAAGUAAAAAUUAAUUUGUACCUUUUGUAUCAGGGUUAAUUAAUAUAAUUUAAAUAAUUUAAUAAUCUCGAAGAAAAAUGAGUUAAUUAUAUAAAAUUAUUUUUGUGAAAAUAAAAAAGUUAAUAUAUAUUUAGAAAUUAAAUGUUAUUCGAAUUUUUAAAUAUCUAGUUUUUUUUGAAAUAAGUUUAAUUUAUAUAUAAUAUUGUUAAUUAAUUAAUUUGUUUAAUUUAAUUAUUAUUAUUAUAUAAAAAAUUUAUGGGAUAAUCUAUAAAUUUUUAUUAUUAUUUGGUUUUUAUAUUUUAUUAGUGUAGAUUUAAAAAUAAUUUUUAUUAAUAAGUAUUUAAUAAUUUAAUUAAAUUAUAUAGAAUUUUAAAGAUUUAUUUGUAUUGAGUAAAAUAAAAAUAUGAGUUUAUAGAAAAAAAUAAUUUAUAAUAGAUUUGAAUUAGGUAUAAUGAUUAAAUUAGUAAUAUUGUAGAAUAAUUUAUAAGUAUAUGAGUGAAUAAUUGUUUGAAAAUAUAUGUAUAUAUAUAUAAGGAAUUAGGCAAAUUAAAUAUAUUCACCUGUUUAUCAAAAACAUGGCUUAAUGAAUUUGAUUUUAGGUCGAUCUGCCCAAUGAUAAUUUAAUUUAAUGGCUGCAGUAUAAUUAACUGUACAAAGGUAGCAUAAUAAAUUGUUUUUUAAUUGAAAACUGGUAUGAAAGAAUUAAUGAAAUAUAUACUGUCUCGUGUGUAUAUAUUAUGAAUUUAGAAUUUUAGUAAAAAUACUGAGAUUUUUUUAUGGGACGAUAAGACCCUAUAGAAUUUUAUAUUAAUAUAAUAUUAGAAAUAAUAUUAUAUUAAUAUUUGGUUGGGAGGAUUAGUAAAUUUAAUAAACUUUAUUUUAAAUUUUUACUUUGAUUUAAGAAUAUUUAAAGUGAUCAUGUAUUAAGAAUUAUAAGAAAAAAUUACCUUAGGGAUAACAGCGUAAUAUCUUUUUUAAGAUCUUAUUAAUAAAGAUGAUUGCGACCUCGAUGUUGAAUUAAGAUAAAUUUUAAAUGCAGAAGUUUAAUAAUUAAGUCUGUUCGACUUUUAAAAUCUUACAUGAUUUGAGUUCAAAUCGACGUGAGUCAGAUUGGUUUCUAUCUAUAAAUAUGUAUAUAAAUUGUUUGUACGAAAGGACUAUAAUUUAUAAUUAGAUUAUUUAAUAUUAAUUAAUAUAUUAU
rnacentral:rRNA from 1 species